GCCGCCCGGACAGUUGGUGCAGGAAGAACGCAGCAGUAUCAGCGCACUCCAUCCCGGGGAUCUGAAUGCAUUGGUGGAGAGAACAGGGAAAUAAGAGGUAAGAGAGAGAAAAAAACAAAGCAGGCAAAUAGCACAGCUGUCCCCAGGGGGCGGGGCUUAAGGCAGGGCCUGUGCCGGAGGGUGGCCCAGCACAGUCGGGGCCUCGGGGCCCAGUCUGGAGGGGGCCUGGCACAGCUGAGGCCUCCUCUGGGUCCAGACCAAAGGGGGCCCAGGCUGGAGGAGAACCAGGCUCAGUUGGGGCUGCUUUGGGGCCCAGGCUGGAGGAGGACCAGGCUCAGUUGGGGCUGCUUUGAGGCCCAGUCCGGAGGGGGGCCUGGCACAGUUGGGGCUGCUUUGGGGCCCAGGCUGGAGGAGGACCAGGCUCAGCUGGGGCUGCUUUGGGGCCUAGUCCGGAGGGAGGCCCGGUACAGCCAGAGCCUUGUGGCAGCAGUCCAACUCUCAAGUUCAACCUUUAACCAUAACCUAAAAUGGUAACCGUAGUGAAAGGUAGUGGCAGAUGGAGCUGCUUUACUGUGUUUUAAUUUUCCCAAGAAUGGUGAAGGACUCAAGCUAGUAAAGAAAGACCCCUUUCUGAAGAGCAGGACUCAGAAGGUAUUACCAGAGAGCAGAUCUCCCAGUAGAGAUUCUUCCCCUUAGACAGCCAGCCCUUAAAUGAGGUUAGGGAGGGCUGGGACCAGGCUCCACCCCUUUUCUGCACAGGUGAAACGCUUCCAGCUGUGCUCCGCAGCAGACCAUGUUUUAACAAAGGUGAAAGCCUGUGAAACAAAAGAAUCCCUUCUUACUUGUUUCACGUUUGUGUUUGUUGACCGCAGUUCCAACCAGGUGGACUCUCAAUGUCUUGCAAGCGACACCUAGAAGCAGGUACAGGCAGGAGGCACAGCACCCUGCAACCUCCAGGGGCCUUUGUGCAAAUGUUCAUGUCCUAGAAGCACGUGGCGGAGCACGUCCUGGGAUCAAGGUGCCGUGGACUGGAAAAUGCAGCUCUGGACAUACAGGCUUGGCGGAGUUCCUGUGUGAAGACAAAACUCCCUGUACUCCAGAAACGUGGAGGCAGAAGAGCAGUGACAAGGAACAAAACAAGGCAACAGAGAGGUUGACAGCAGCGAUGGUGAUGGAGAUGUUCAGACUGGAGGAGCUCUUGGCUCGCUGCAGCCACCCCAGCAUCCCCAGAGGUGGGCACGGGGACCUGGGGGGGCUUUGGUGCUGCACAAACGACUGCAGGCAGAGGUGUAGGAAAGUGAACGCCAAGCAUUUAAUAAUUGAACGUACAAAACAGCAAAUAAAUGACGAUAGAUAUUCCCAA